AGUUAAGACUUCACUUCCUCUUCAGUUGGAAGGCCACUUCAGGUUCUCAUGGUUCAGUUGUGUAUCUACCAUCACACAACACUAGGCUGUAACUUCAAAACCAAAUGAAAUCUAUCAACCGAACCGCUCAAGGAUGGAUCUAUACUGACUUCAAACUUGGAACCUACAGGCCAGCAGAGGUGUUUCCUGCCAGGCUGACAGAAGACAACAGAGGACUCCUCACUCCUCCUCAAGUACAGCUGGAGGCCAAUGUCCCCACUGUAAGCGCGACCUAAAGACUCCCGUCCAUCACAGUGCAAAGAUCCCCAACAGAUACUCAUCUUUACAGUACACCCAACAAUGGUGAGGAAGACAAGGAACAACACUGCUCUCAUAACGUCAAUGGAUUAUUGGACCAUGUUUGGAAGCUCUGAACAGCAGCUCUACAUUUGGUUUUGUUGAAACUGCAUCAGAGAGAUUAUUGUGGUUCUAUAAAUGAAUGGGAUAAAUAUGAUUAAAACAUGCCUUCUCUGAAA